rnacentral:tRNA from 1 species
GUCUUGCUGGCUCAGUUGGUAGAGAGCAUGAGACUCUUGAUCUCGAGGUCGUGAGUUCAAACCCCACGUUAGGUG